rnacentral:rRNA from 1 species
UACGUAGGCAGCGAGCGUUGUUCGGAGUUACUGGGCGUAAAGGGUGUGUAGGCGGUUGUUUAAGUUUGGUGUGAAAUCUCCCGGCUCAACUGGGAGGGUGCGCCGAAUACUGAAUGACUAGAGUGCGGGAGAGGAAAGUGGAAUUCCUGGUGUAGCGGUGAAAUGCGUAGAUAUCAGGAGGAACACCGGUGGUGUAAACGGCUUUCUGGACCGUAACUGACGCUGAGGCACGAAAGCGUGGGUAGCAAACAGG